CUAAGGUUAGGGCUGUCAAAAUGGCUCUGUCUAUCAAGUGAAUAACAAAGUGUAGACUGCCUGUCUGUUUCCUAUACAAAUCUUAGAUUUCAUGUGCCAUUAUUGUCGGUCUUUCUGCUGAUUUAAUAACUUCCAAAGAGAAGAACUGAGGGUUCUGAUGCAGCCUCACUAUUUAGGAAACUACUUGGAAAGGGAAUUCUCAAGGGCUGAAAGAGAGUCUUCAGAUGGUCAGAGAAAGUACCUGAUGCUGAAAGAUAGAAAGCUGAAUAAUGUCAUCAAAAUUUGCCUUUUGUCUUGCGUUGUUACAGCUAUUUUUCUUGGAGACAGAUGGAUCUUGAGGAAUGACAGUGGCUUACUGUAAGCUUAACCACGUGCUGACUCCAAUUAUAGCUGCUGUAUCAGAUGUAAUUUCAUUGCUCAAGGAAAUUAACACAUCCCCUGGUACCUGGUAUGCAGCUAUUGAUCUAGCAAAUACUUCUUUCUCCUUCUCUCUCAAUGAGGAUCACCAGAAGCAAUUUUCUUUCAGCUGGUAAGGCCAGCAAUACAUCUUCACUGUCUACCUAAGGCGUAUA
rnacentral:lncRNA from 1 species